rnacentral:ncRNA from 1 species
AUGUUAUAAAGAAAGGCAGAGGGAUUAGACCCAAUGAAGCCUUAGCAACCCUACGAAUUAUCGAAGAAGGUGCUGCAUUCUACCACACAGUUUGUGGAAAGAUAACAC